rnacentral:misc_RNA from 1 species
GAUGAAGAACGCAGCGAAAUGCGAUACGUAAUGUGAAUUGCAGAUUUUAGUGAAUCAUCGAAUCUUUGAACGCACAUUGCGCCCGCCAGUAUUCUGGCGGGCAUGCCUGUUCGAGCGUCAUUUCAACCAUCAAGCCUUCGCUUAUGUUGGGGCCCCGCGGCUGCCGCGGCCCCCUAAAUCCAGUGGCGGGCUCGUCGUCGUACCGAGCGCAGUAGACAUCCUCGCUCCGGGAACCCGACGGGUGCCGGCCGUGAAACCCCCCCCAUCAAGGUUGACCUCGGAUCAGGUAGGAAUACCCGCUGAACUUAAGCAUAUCAAUAAGCGGAGGA